rnacentral:sRNA from 1 species
GUUCCUCAUCAAGGGAAGUGUGGCUGGGGGCGCCGUCUACCUGGUGUACGACCAGGAGCUGCUGGGGCCCAGCGACAAGAGCCAGGCAGCCCUACAGAAGGCUGGGGAGGUGGUGCCCCCCGCCAUGUACCAGUUCAGCCAGUACGUGUGUCAGCAGACAGGCCUGCAGAUACCCCAGCUCCCAGCCCCUCCAAAGAUUUACUUUCCCAUCCGUGACUCUUGGAAUGCAGCCUGGUAUGGUGGCGCACUUGUAGUCCCAGCUACUUAGGAGGCUGAGGCAGGAGAAUCGCUUGAACCCAGGAGGCGAAGGUUGCAGUGAGCCGAGAUUGCACCACUGCACUCCAGCCUGGGAGACAAGAGCAUCAUGACGGUGAUGUCAGCUCUGUCGGUGGCCCCCUCCAAGGCCCGCGAGUACUCCAAGGAGGGCUGGGAGUAUGUGAAGGCGCGCACCAAGUAGCGAGUCAGCAGGGGCCGCCUGCCCCGGCCAGAAUGGGCAGGGCUGCCACUGACCUGAAGACUCUGGACUGGGACCCCACUCCGAGGGCAGCUCCCGGCCUUGCCGGCCCAAUAAAGGACUUCAGAAGUGU